rnacentral:rRNA from 1 species
CCGGCACGGGUGCGUAACGCGUAUGCAACCUACCAUCAACAGGGGGAUAACACUGAGAAAUUGGUACUAAUACCCCAUAAUAUCUCAUGCGGCAUCGCAUGGGGUUGAAAACUCCGGUGGUUGAUGAUGGGCAUGCGUUGUAUUAGCUGGUUGGUGAGGUAACGGCUCACCAAGGCGACGAUACAGUAGGGGGACUGAGAGGUUAACCCCCCACAUUGGUACUGAGACACGGACCAAACUCCUACGGAAGGCAGCAG